rnacentral:tRNA from 1 species
UCCGCCAUAGCUCAGUUGGUAGUAGCGCAUGACUGUUAAUCAUGAUGUCGUAGGUUCAAGUCCUACUGGCGGAG